rnacentral:snoRNA from 1 species
GCAGAUGAGGAGAAAGCACCUCCACUGAGCAAAGCUAUGAGGACACGCCCACGGUCUGAUG